GUGUGAAAUGCCUCCGAAAAGGAAGCAGAUAAGUCAGCCGAUCGCAAAGCGUGGAAAAAAUUUCGUUCUAGAAUGUCGCGGGCAGAAUGUCAGGAAUUUGGACAAAAUGGCGGCACAUAAGCUAAAUGUUGCUGAUUUGCGAGCGUUGCUUCAACAGGCACUUGAACAACAAGGAGAAAGCCUAGACUCAACUGGAUAUGCCUAC